UACGUAGGGGGCAAGCGUUGUCCGGAUUUAUUGGGCGUAAAGAGCGUGUAGGCGGCCAGAUAGGUCCGUUGUGAAAACUGGAGGCUUAACCUCCAGCGGUCGAUGGAAACCAUCUGGCUAGAGUCCGGAAGAGGAGAGUGGAAUUCCUGGUGUAGCGGUGAAAUGCGUAGAUAUCAAGAGGAACACCUGAGGCGAAGGCGGGUUGCUAGGCUGACACUGACGCUGAAGCGCGAAAGCUAGGGUAGCAAACGGG
rnacentral:rRNA from 1 species